rnacentral:rRNA from 1 species
CCUACGGGAGGCAGCAGUGAGGAAUAUUGGUCAAUGGGCGAGAGCCUGAACCAGCCAAGUCGCGUGAAGGAUGACGGCCCUACGGGUUGCAAACUUCUUUUGUCAGGGAGCAAUUGGGUCCACGCGUGGGCUUAGCGAGAGUACCUGAAGAAAAAGCAUCGGCUAACCCCGUGCCAGCAGCCGCGGUAAUACGGAGGAUCCGAGCGUUACCCGGAUUUUUUGGGUUUAAAGGGAGCGUAGGUGGAUUGUUAAGUCAGGUGUGAAAGUUUGCGGCUCAACCGUAAAAUUGCAGUUGAAACUGGCAGUCUUGAGUACAGUGGAGGUGGGCGGAAUGCGUGGUGUAGCGGUGAAAUGCUUAGAUAUCGCGAAGAACUCCGAUUGCGAAGGCAGCUCGCUGGACUGCAACUGACACUGAUGCUCGAAAGUGUGGGUAUCGAACAGGAUUAGAUACCCCAGUAGUC